CAGCCUUCAAGGCCAGCCACAAGCUCUAGCCAAAGACAGGACCAUGCCAGGGGUCCAAGGACUCAGCGCUAGCUCCAGGCACAGCUGAAGGCUCACCAGGGUAUCUGAAGGUAGAGAUGGGCAGAGAAGAGACCACAACCAGCAGGGGCCAUGUGGCUGAGAUGACACCCUGGGAGAUCUUCUCUUGGACCGUGGAUGUCACUGAACCAUGCAUCCACAUCCAGUCCUUGAUGCUCUGGGAGCCACACACAGUUUGUGAAGUCACUGCAAAGGAAGAGGUCCUCCCACUCCCCUGGGAACUGAACAAUAGAAGAAGCUAUUUUUGCAGCAAGAAGACUGCAAGGCAGACAGCAAAAAGAACUUCAGAAUGUGGAAACAUGACUGUGAUACAGCUCUCAAUGCAGGCCAGCCUCAUCUUGGCACAGCAGAAGAUGCUACAGUCCUCUAUGGGACACCCACACAGCACCCUCCUCCAGAGGUCUGCUGGUCCCCACUCACUCUCCCUCACUGCUCCCCAGGGAAGUUUUUGGCUACCCCAUCCUCCUCUGCUCUUGCCAAGGCCCAGGGGCCUAACAGAAUGAUGUUCAAAGUGAGAGCAGGUGAGAUGUGGGUGCUUCAUGUCCCCGCAUCCAGCAGAGCAUGGCCAAAGAGGCUCAGUCAGGAGGGUAGAGACAUCUGCGUCCGCCACCCGGUUCCACCCUGCAAACCCUCGCAUGAAGGUUUUCAUCAACAUUCCUCAAAAGAAGAAACUGAUACUCAGAAAGACUUCAACCUUUGCCCAAGGCUUCCCAGCAGAGGAACUAAACUACCAGAGGCUCUGGGCCUCUUAGGACCAAGGCCUGGGUAUUCCCAUCUCUGAGGAACUUGGAGGCUCUAAGUCAGGGGCCCCAUGUGUAAGCCUGCGCUGCCUCUCGUGACCUGGGUGACAUUGAAUUUGUUAUAUAUUGAUGUCUAUGUGAAUCAUCAAUAAAAUGGGGCAGGGGCCAGCACCUACUCUAGGGGUUUCCUCAGAGCUGAUACCCGUCAGGCACCUAGAACUGAGCCAGGGCAUGAAAAAUGUUCUGUAUGCUUUGAGAUAUUAGUAUUAUUGGUCCAUCCUACCCGCAAGCCAUUAUCUCCCUUGUGAGGCUUCCAAAACCAUCCAUCAGCCUGUGAGGAGCCCCAUGGCAAGGCCUUCCCUACC
rnacentral:lncRNA from 1 species